rnacentral:rRNA from 1 species
CAGUAGCCACGGUAAUACGGAGGGAGCUAGCGUUGUUCGGAAUUACUGGGCGUAAAGCGCGCGUAGGCGGUUACUCAAGUCAGAGGUGAAAGCCCGGGGCUCAACCCCGGAACUGCCUUUGAAACUAGGUGACUAGAAUCUUGGAGAGGUCAGUGGAAUUCCGAGUGUAGAGGUGAAAUUCGUAGAUAUUCGGAAGAACACCAGUGGCGAAGGCGACUGACUGGACAAGUAUUGACGCUGAGGUGCGAAAGCGUGGGGAGCAAACAGGAUUAGAUACCCGUGUAGUCCCUGUCUCUUAUAC